UAUGCAAAUUUUCCAGUAGACAAUACUUCAUAUCAUAGUUGAGCUUAAAUAGAGAUAUGAUCUGAACUCUGAAGUUCUAGCUUUUUUUCUCCAUAGGGGACAAAUCUGAGCUCCAGCUUAUCUUUCUUUCACUUGCACAAAUAAGAAAUGGGGAGCAGCUAUUGGAUUCCAGUAGGCCAGACUGAGGACUUUGCUUCUAGUAACAGGCUGUCCUGCAAGGAAAGAAAAAGAGUACUGCAUCAAGGUUGCGAGGAAAAUGGCCAGUGGGUUCAGUGGUUGUUGGUGGGCAGGACAGAUACUUUGACAUGUGGCAGAUGAAGACACGUCCCUUGGAGCGUAUAUAGAGCAUCUUUUCAGAGGAUCUGAUCUGCUGCAAGGACCAUGGAGAAGACUCAAGCGAGGCAUUGUUUUCUCUACCAGAAUUCUAUAAUUCUUAUUUCACACUUCCAUUCUAAUCUUUCCAUGCUCAUCCAUGUCUGCUUUUGUUUUUGUUGAGAUUCCUCAGUCUCUGCUUUCUACAAGUCUGAGCUCAGAGCCUUUCAAGCAUUUAUCUUCAUGUGAGAUUGCACCAGAUUGAUGUGAGAUGUUAUCUCUGAAUAAUUUUUCACUUUAAGUAAUCCAUCACAUGAAGUCAGACAAUGAAAACUUUACGGCUCUUUUUUUUUGGUGGGAUGAAGAAAGUUCUGUAGUGGGCAUGGAACAAGCCACAAAGAUCAUACAAGAAAUACUUAUUGUCCUUUUUUGACAUCUGUAACCCUGAAGAAAAACACAGGAUUGACCACUUGCUCCAUAUUGAGCUAAUGAUACCUGCCUGUGAAGAAAGAGUGAUGGUAGCUUUGA